AUUGAACGCUGGCGGCAGGCCUAACACAUGCAAGUCGAGCGGAUGAGUGGAGCUUGCUCCAUGAUUCAGCGGCGGACGGGUGAGUAAUGCCUAGGAAUCUGCCUGGUAGUGGGGGACAACGUUUCGAAAGGAACGCUAAUACCGCAUACGUCCUACGGGAGAAAGUGGGGGAUCUUCGGACCUCACGCUAUCAGAUGAGCCUAGGUCGGAUUAGCUAGUUGGUGAGGUAAAGGCUCACCAAGGCGACGAUCCGUAACUGGUCUGAGAGGAUGAUCAGUCACACUGGAACUGAGACACGGUCCAGACUCCUACGGGAGGCAGCAGUGGGGAAUAUUGGACAAUGGGCGAAAGCCUGAUCCAGCCAUGCCGCGUGUGUGAAGAAGGUCUUCGGAUUGUAAAGCACUUUAAGUUGGGAGGAAGGGCAGUAAGUUAAUACCUUGCUGUUUUGACGUUACCAACAGAAUAAGCACCGG
rnacentral:rRNA from 1 species